rnacentral:misc_RNA from 1 species
AGUACCUCCAUCGGACUCGAAAAUCGACAAAAACCAUUUCAUGUCGCCGAUGGAAGACUCCAGAAGGCUGGAGACCUUGCGAAAAUCAGCGGUGGAGGUGAUGGAGAAGACCUGGCGGAGAACGCCACUGUGCUUGCACUUACGAACAAGUGUGAGAGCACGAUCGAUGGAGAUGUCGGAAGCGAUGCGGCGGAGAGGGCGGUCGUAGAAGGAAGGAGUGGUGGAGGCGAUGCGAACGGUGGAUCGUAGCAUCUGGGAGAGGCGGUCCACUUGUUUAGCGAGGUCGGAACAAUCUUGCUUGGAGGAUUCUGCCUCUUGGGCCGAUUUGAUGACUCGAUCAGCAAGUAAAAUUGGGAUAGUCAGCUCGUCUGGGAGACUCUUCUCUUCUUCACGUGAAGUCACUGUAGCAGAAGCAGUAGCAGCAGCA